rnacentral:rRNA from 1 species
CCCUACGGGACGCAGCAGUGGGGGAUAUUGCACAAUGGGGGGAACCCUGAUGCAGCGACGCCGCGUGGGUGAAGAAGCGCCUCGGCGCGUAAAGCCCUGUCAGCAGGGAAGAAAAUGACGGUACCUGAAGAAGAAGCCCCGGCUAACUACGUGCCAGCAGCCGCGGUAAUACGUAGGGGGCAAGCGUUAUCCGGAUUUACUGGGUGUAAAGGGAGCGUAGACGGAGAAGCAAGUCUGAAGUGAAAGCCCGUGGCUUAACCACGGGACUGCUUUGGAAACUGUUUGACUAGAGUGCUGGAGAGGUA